CAGGAAAUCUGAAAUCCUAAAGUCAAAGGACAAGGUCUAAUUUUGGCUUUGUGUUGUCCUUUCAGCCUUUCUUGUCUGAAAUCCACAAUCCAGUUACCCUAUUCAGUUUGGACUUUGGCUAAUAAUACUCAUAGUCUGCCCCUAAGAGAAAGACAAGAGAAUAUGGACUUAUUUGGGGAGAUGGAUGACAUAUUAUACAAUUUUAUGAAUUCCUCAAAAAGGUUAAACAUCCACUAUGUGCCAUGGACUAUGUUAAGUGGGUCCAUUAAAGCAGAGACAAUGUGUCCCCGGUAAGGAGCACAGUACUUGACACAUGGUGCACUGAAGUGCCCUACAAUCCUCUCUGCCCAGAGAGAAGAAUGAAGCAUGAAGCCAAGAGAAAGAAAAGGACCUCCCUGCCUCCUCACAUACAACACAGAUACGUACACGUACAGAUGAGCAUACGGAAACACAGAUCUCUGCAUCAUGACAUAUAUGCAGGCGUCCGUUCUCAAAGAAGACACACUCACAUCGGAGGAGCGUUGCUAAAGUUCCCAUGGGCGAAAUUUCCCGUUCCUGGUCCUAUUCUCAAGAGAGAACUUCUGAUUUCCAAGAUUGGCAUGGAAUGUGAAUCUGGAGCCACUUGUUUUCUUGGAUGAAGGCUAGACAAAGGUGCAUCACAAUCCCAUAGCAAAGGAUGCCUCCAGUCAUGUUCUCUGACUUUUCUCCGUGAUGAAAACCACUUUCUCUGCCUACCCCACAACAGAGGAGUAAUUUGGAGAUACUCAUGUAAUCAUCACAUGAUCUUAUAAUGGCAGUGUGGAGAGAUGAUUUUCAAGCCUUCAAGAAAUUAUCGCUUUAAGCCAGAGCAGUGACAUGGCCACAUGGAAGAGAGCAAGGAGGAAAGAAGGAAAAUUCUAGAAGAGUAUAUGGCAGCCCAUGCUCCGUGCCAGGCUAACUAAACAAGAAUG